GACGAACGCUGGCGGCGUGCUUAACACAUGCAAGUCGAACGGAAAGGCCCUGCUUUUGUGGGGUGCUCGAGUGGCGAACGGGUGAGUAACACGUGAGUAACCUGCCCUUGACUUUGGGAUAACUUCAGGAAACUGGGGCUAAUACCGGAUAGGAGCUCCUGCUGCAUGGUGGGGGUUGGAAAGUUUCGGCGGUUGGGGAUGGACUCGCGGCUUAUCAGCUUGUUGGUGGGGUAGUGGCUUACCAAGGCUUUGACGGGUAGCCGGCCUGAGAGGGUGACCGGCAACAGAGGGACAUGGAGACGGACCGGAGGGAGACGGGCGGAAGGAGGGGGGGAGAGAGGGCAAGGCGCGGAGGUCUGAUGCAGCGUCGCCGCGUGCGGAAUGGCGGCCUUCGGGGUGUAACAAGCGUGCACCUGUGACGAAGCGGCAAUGAGGGUAGUGAGGAGAGAAGAACGGGCAAACUACUU
rnacentral:rRNA from 1 species